ACAAACCUGAGCUACCUGAGCACCACCACUUGUGUCUCUGCAUCAUAAUUUUUUAAGUUUCAUCUGUUCCUGGUCCCAUAGYAAGACUUGGUGGCAGUGAACAUGUUCUUAACAGCCCUCUCUGAAUGGUGGCAGAAGCAUUUGUGUGGGAAGCUUUCGAUUCU